rfam:Flavobacterium sp. LM5 Flavobacterium_sp_LM5_contig3, whole genome shotgun sequence.
AAUGAACUUCGUUUGCAGUGAAAAUCCUUUUUGAGGCUUUUUCUGCCUCAAAAAGAUUGUAACGUAAGAGCCCGACCCUUG